GACGGAAGGUGCAAGCGUUGCUCGGAAUCACUGGGCGUAAAGGGUGCGUAGGCGGCCGUGCAAGUCUGGCGUGAAAGCCCCGGGCUCAGCCCGGGAAGUGCGCUCGAAACUGCGCGGCUCGAGUGCCGGAGGGGAGAGUGGAAUUCCCGGUGUAGUGGUGAAAUGCGUAGAUAUCGGGAGGAACACCAGUGGCGAAGGCGACUUCCUGGCCUGUUCUUGACGCUGAGGCGCGAAAGCUAGGGGAGCAAACGGG
rnacentral:rRNA from 1 species